UCCAGCUUAUCGCUGGCGGUCUCCUGCGAGUCCCCCCUUGCGGGAUGGCAACACAGGACAAGGGUUGCGCUCGUUGCGGGACUUAACCCAACAUCUCACGACACGAGCUGACGACAGCCAUGCAGCACCUCGACUCCACCCCCUUGCGGAGUAACGGUGUUUCCACCGCCGUUGGGAAGCCGUUCGAGCCCAGGUAAGGUUCUUCGCGUUGCGUCGAAUUGAACCACAUGCUCCACCGCUUGUGCGGGCCCCCGUCAAUUCCUUUGAGUUUCAGCCUUGCGACUGUACUCCCCAGGCGGCAUAUUUAACGCGUUAGCUCCGGCACAGAUCAACUGAAUGACCUACACCAAAUAUGCAUCGUUUAGGGCGUGGACUAC
rnacentral:misc_RNA from 1 species